CCAACUGUACAUUGUCUUGAUAGAGUGCAAAGUGAUCAUCACCUGCUCCCAAAGUGAGUAAACAUUUGGUUUGCACAGUCUAUCCUCUUAGCAGGUUGCAUGUGGAACAUCCUUUCAGGACCACUGUCUUUUAAGCAGGUAGCUAUACUGAGGAGGAAGACUGGUUUGUAUAGUCCACACCAACUGUAGAAGUUGAUGGUGGU
rnacentral:lncRNA from 1 species